rnacentral:rRNA from 1 species
UACGUAGGGGGCAAGCGUUGUUCGGAAUCACUGGGCGUAAAGGGUGCGUAGGCCGCACGGUAAGUCAGAGGUGAAAUCCCGGAGCUCAACUUCGGAAUUGCCUCCGAUACUGCCGUGCUUGAGGACUGGAGAGGAGAUUGGAAUUCACAGUGGAGCAGUGAAAUGCGUAGAUAUUGGGAGGAACACUAGUGGCGAAGGCGAAUCUCUGGACAGUUCCUGACGCUGAGGCACGAAGGCCAGGGGAGCAAACGGG